GAUGAACGCUGGCGGCGUGCCUAAUACAUGCAAGUAGAACGCUGAAGGAAGGAGCUUGCUCUUUCCGGAUGAGUUGCGAACGGGUGAGUAACGCGUAGGUAACCUGCCUGGUAGCGGGGGAUAACUAUUGGAAACGAUAGCUAAUACCGCAUAACAGUAGAUGUUGCAUGAUAUCUACUUAAAAGGUGCAAUUGCACCACUACCAGAUGGACCUGCGUUGUAUUAGCUAGUUGGUGAGGUAACGGCUCACCAAGGCGACGAUACAUAGCCGACCUGAGAGGGUGAACGGCCACACUGGGACUGAGACACGGCCCAGACUCCUACGGGAGGCAGCAGUAGGGAAUCUUAGGCAAUGGGCGGAAGUCUGACCGAGCAACGCCGCGUGAGUGAAGAAGGUUUUCGGAUCGUAAAGCUCUGUUGUAAGAGAAGAACGAGUGUGAGAGUGGAAAGUUCACACUGUGACGGUAUCUUACCAGAAAGGGACGGCUAACUACGUG
rnacentral:rRNA from 1 species